rnacentral:rRNA from 1 species
ACGCUUGAAGUCAGUCACGUCUGCCAGGACUCAGCCUCGCUUCUGCUUGGUGUACUUUCUGGUUUGAUGGGCCAACAUCAAUUUCGACCGCUGGAGAAAGGCUUUGGGAAUGUGGCACCUUAGGGUGUGUUAUAGCCCUUUGUCGUAUACGGCGGUCGGGAUUGAGGACUGCAGCACGCCUUCAUGGCCGGGGCGUUUCGCCCACGUACGUGCUUAGGAUGUUGGCAUAAUGGCUUUAAGCGACCCGUCUUGAAACACGGACCAAGGAGUC